UACAGAGGGUCCGAGCGUUAAUCGUAUUUACUGGGCGUAAAGCGUGCGUAGGCGGCAUGUUAAGUCGGUUGUGAAAUCCCCGAGCUUAACUUGGGAAUUGCAUUCGAUACUGGGAAGCUAGAGUAUGGGAGAGGAUUGUAGAAUUCUAGGUGUAGCGGUGAAAUGCGUAGAGAUCUGGAGGAAUACCGAUGGCGAAGGCAGCCAUCUGGCCUAAUGCUGACGCUGAGGUACGAAAGCAUGGGGAGCAAACAGG
rnacentral:misc_RNA from 1 species